GUCUUGAUUUUUUGAAUUAAUAUUUACCAUAUUUCAGCCAAAUGUAGUUAAACGUCUAGAGUGUCGCCAUGUAACAUGCUAAAAAAGAGCCGUUAGCUUAUUUGCUGUUUUAUCUGUUGUCAAAGAAUUGGCGCUUUUUCAUUUGAAUUUGUCUUUGGCACAAGAGCCGUAAUAUCACAUUAAACCUAAUUACGAGGCACUCAUAACAUAAUUUGGUUUUCUGUGUGAAUAGAUUUGCCAACUGACUCUUCAGUUACAUUGUGUAUUUACUGCACCAUGGUGUUAGUGAGAUUUUGGACAUUGAACAGCUUUAGCUAAUAUCAUCAGCGGCAUUAUGCUAGCUUACAUCCCUACCCCUCCUGGCCUCACCUGCUGUCCUUUUGUUUUUGUUUUUGUUUUUUUUGCUGCACAUUGAGAGACGACCUCUAUUCUGCAUUUCACCAGGAGUCAGCUGAUGGAUUGUGGGUUCAAGGUGUUAUGAUAAAAUGCAGCAUUCCAGUGCAUCCCAACCAUGCCUUUACAGUCAAAGUUUCUGACGGAGCUGAGUUUCUCUCUGACAGUCUGCUGAAAGUGUUUGCAAAGUGAUCGGGGGAACAGGGCACAAAGCUAAAGGAUGUAGCUGCCAUUAUGACAUCAAGGAUGACAUUAAUGCUCGGAGUCCCUCAUCAAAGUGCUCCGCAUCUGUGUGAAAGACAAUUGCAACAUCUUGGUGCAGGAGUUCAUGGACUUGACUGAGGCCACUGCACAGAUUGAGAAAACCACAAUGAACAUCUGUCUCCAGAGAUGCGCCAGGCAAUGACUUUUCUGAUGUUGUUCUUCAAGAUCUGGAUAACGUGACCUUUGCAGUAGCCAUGCUGUUUGGACCUUUUUUAUUCCUUCAACAUGAGUUACCCAUCACAACUCUGCUACACUUUUGAGGUGAUUCAAUGGGUGGUAAUGGAGUUGGAUGCAACUCAGCUCUCAAGAAAAGCUCACAACUAAGACAAAACUGCUCCUGCAACGAAGCUCAC
ensembl:lncRNA